AUUAAACGCUGGCGGCAUGCCUUACACAUGCAAGUCGAACGGUAACAGGUCUUCGGAUGCUGACGAGUGGCGAACGGGUGAGUAAUACAUCGGAACGUGCCCGAGAGUGGGGGAUAACGAGGCGAAAGCUUUGCUAAUACCGCAUACGAUCUCAGGAUGAAAGCAGGGGACCGCAAGGCCUUGCGCUCACGGAGCGGCCGAUGGCAGAUUAGGGAGUUGGUGGGAUAAAAGCUUACCAAGCCGACGAUCUGUAGCUGGUCUGAGAGGACGACCAGCCACACUGGGACUAGGACACGGCCCAGACUCCUACGGGAGGCAGCAGUGGGGAAUUUUGGACAAUGGGCGCAAGCCUGAUCCAGCCAUGCCGCGUGCAGGAUGAAGGCCUUCGGGUUGUAAACUGCUUUUGUACGGAACGAAAAGACUCCUUCUAAUAAAGGGGGUCCAUGACGGUACCGUAAGAAUAAGCACCGGCUAACUACGUGCCAGCAGCCGCCGUAAAAC
rnacentral:rRNA from 1 species